AGCGAACGCUGGCGGCAGGCCUAACACAUGCAAGUCGAGCGCCCCGCAAGGGGAGCGGCAGACGGGAGAGUAACACGUGGGAACGUACCCUUCGGUUCGGAACAACCCAGGGAAACUUGGGCUAAUACCGGAUACGUCCGAAAGGAGAAAGAUUUAUCGCCGAGGGAUCGGCCCGCGUCUGAUCAGCUAGUUGGUGGGGUAACGGCCCACCAAGGCGACGAUCAGUAGCUGGUCUGAGAGGAUGAUCAGCCUCACUGGGACUGAGACACGGCCCAGACUCCUACGGGAGGCAGCAGUGGGGAAUAUUGGACAAUGGGCGCAAGCCUGAUCCAGCCAUGCCGCGUGGGUGAUGAAGGCCCUAGGGUUGUAAAGCCCUUUCGGCGGGGAAGAUAAUGACGGUACCCGCAGAAGAAGCCCCGGCUAACUUCGUGCCAGCAGCCGCCGUAACAC
rnacentral:rRNA from 1 species